ensembl:lncRNA
GUGACAAUUAGGGCUGGGACAACGCGUCGACGUAAUCGAUUACGUCGACGCAAAAAAUACGUCGACGUAAAAAAAUCUGCGUCGAUGCGUCGUCACUUUCAAAAAAAGACAUGGCGGCAGCGAGUAGCGGAAUCAUGAGUGAGGCAGUUGCAGUCAACUUAAAUCACUCCACCCGAACACGCAGUUCUACAGUAUGGGGAUAUUUUAACAGAAAAGGAAGUGAUUCAGUCGUUUGCCGGCUUUGUGAGGUGGAAAUGGCCUAUCAUAAAAGCACGACGGCUAUGCACCAGCACCUCAAACGACGGCAUCCAGGAGCAGCUUCUGCAAAGGACAAACCACCGAAUAAACAGAAAAGUCUGGAGGACUACUGUCAGAGAAGAAGUACACCAUGCACCCCCCAGGAGGUGGCUGUACUUACUGAGAGCGUCUUAGCUAUGAUUUUAAAAGACAAGAGACCACUUGCUGUGGGUGAGGGAUUCAAAGAAAUGCUGACCACUUUCCAACCAGGUUACACUCUGCCGUCUAGGCGUCAUUUUACAAGCAUGAUGGAGAGAAAGUAUGAAACUUCAGUGGAGAAACUAAGGAAUGAACUAAAAAAAGCCACAUCCAAAAUCUCCCUUACCACUGAUGCUUGGACAAGUCUGAUCACAGAGUCCUACUUAGGGGAAACUUGUCAUUUCAUUAUUUGUUCAAAGACGCCAUUGCUGCUGUUUGUAUAUUAUUAAUUUUUUGCUAUGAUUUCCUUUGUUAUAUUUGUUUUGCAAAACAUUUAAUUUUUUGUUAAAAACAGAAGAUUGUAGUACAAUGUUAUUGUGGAUUUUGUUUUGUGAAGGAAGAGCACUUUUUGGCAGAAAGCAAAGUGAAUAUUACAUUUUGUUUGUUUAAAGACACCAUUGUUGCUAUUUAUUUGAAAUGUUUUGUUAACUUUUCCUUAAUUUUAUAUAUGUUUGCACAUUUCAUUUCUUGUUAAAUGCUAUCUCUAUUGUAUUGAUUGUACGACCUCUACAACUUUAUUUUGCAAUUUUUUUAUUUUUUAUUAAAAGGUCUUCAAAUGAAUAGAUUUGUGUUUUUC